UCGUAGUCCGGAUUGGAGUCUGCAACUCGACUCCAUGAAGUCGGAAUCGCUAGUAAUCGUGGAUCAGAAUGCCACGGUGAAUACGUUCCCGGGCCUUGUACACACCGCCCGUCACACCAUGGGAGUGGGUUGCAAAAGAAGUAGGUAGCUUAACCUUCGGGAGGGCGCUUACCACUUUGUGAUUCAUGACUGGGGUGAAGUCGUAACAAGGUAACCGUAGGGGAACCUGCGGUUGGAUCACCUCCUUACCUUAAAGAA
rnacentral:rRNA from 3 species